rnacentral:RNase_P_RNA from 1 species
CGGGAAGAUUAGAUGUCUGCUGUGCAGGUAACUGCAUAGAGGAAAGUCCGGACACCAUAGGGCAGGAUACUUCCUAACGGGAAGCUGUUGCGAGGCAGAGCCAGCUCCACAGAAACAAACCGCCCGUGAUCUCUUUAGUAUUUUGCGGGUAAGGGUGAAAUGGUAGUGUAAGAGACUACCGGUAUCCUUGGUGACAGGGAUAGCCAGGAAAGCCUUAUCCGGUGCAAUGCCAAAUAGGGAAGCUCAGCGCGGCCCGCGCGAUCAUGCUUUCGGGUAGGCAGCUAGAACCGUUUCGUGAGGAACGGUCCAGAGGAAUAGACAUCGUUAUACAAAAUCCGGCUUAUUAUCUUCCCGAGUU